rnacentral:rRNA from 1 species
UUGACUUCAGGUCAGACGAGGUUACCCGCUGAACUUAAGCAUAUCAAUAAGCGGAGGA